rnacentral:rRNA from 1 species
GGACCCGCACAAGUAGUGGAGCAUGUGGUUUAAUUCGAAGAUACGCGCAGAACCUUACCAACACUUGACAUGUUCGUCGCGACUUUAAGAGAUUAAAGUUUUCGGUUCGGCCGGACGAAACACAGGUGCUGCAUGGCUGUCGUCAGCUCGUGUCGUGAGAUGUUGGGUUAAGUCCCGCAACGAGCGCAACCCUCACUUUUAGUUGCCAUCAUUAAGUUGGGCACUCUGAAAGAACUGCCAGUGAUAAGCUGGAGGAAGGUGGGGAUGACGUCAAGUCCUCAUGGCCCUUACGUGUUGGGCUACACACGUGCUACAAUGGUAUCUACAACAGGAAGCAAAACCGCGAGGUUAAGCAAAUCCCAAAAAGCUAUCUCAGUUCGGAUUGUCGUCUGCAACUCGACGGCAUGAAGUCGGAAUCGCUAGUAAUCG